GGCGGCUGCUGUUGAGGAAGUGGAGAUGUGGGAAAGCAGCCUGUGUUUUUGUUCCUCCUUCUCCGGCUGGCGGCGUUUCUGCUCCCGCUUUCCGUCUCAACUUUCUACCGAACCCGAGUGUCAAGAGUAACAGAGUCAGAACAGAUAAUAGCCAGGGAGGGUGAAGGCCAGCACAUGGUACAUCCAGCAUCCAGUUCAUGAUAGAAAGCCUGUGCCGGAGGACUGAGUGGAAGAUAUUGUGUCUGAUUCGUGUGGACAGCAUCUGCACCCUCAGGAUUCAGUCCUCUAUGAAACAUUCUUGCAUAAGACACAAACAGGCAAAGCAAAGUGUCAGUCAUGAGACACAGGAAAGUCUGAGUGUUUCUAUCCAGAACUCCCAACGCUAUCCUGAGACACCAUUUCACUUACAGGAGGAUUUCUUGACGGUUUAAGUUUCUGUGUUUUGUUUUGGUGUUUCUGCUCUACAGUCUCCUCAAUAGUGUUGAAAUAGAAAUAGUAGUUUUAUCCGGUUUUGCUAUUUGUAUCUUCAAUUCCCAAUUGUUCAGGUUGUCUAAAGUUUUUAAUGCUAAAACCAGCCUACAGUACAUGCUGGACCCCAAAUCCAAGAGCUUAGUGUCAUGUCCUUCACAGACAGCUCACCAUGAAGCCAUGCGUUGUUGUUUUUUUAACUAUUUCCCUUGUUGUCUGUCUCACUUCCUGCAUCUGUGCACAGCUGUCUUCUCCCUGAUUGGUUCUGAAAUGUUUCUUCUGCUUAGUUGAUAACAUUCGUUGCUUUGCCUUGAGGUUUUAUUUUUGUUGAAAUAAAAGAUUUGCUUAUGACUUCAAAACCUUUCACCCAGACAC